rnacentral:rRNA from 1 species
UAACUUAGUGGCGAACGGGUGAGUAACGCGUGAGUAACCUGCCCUGGAGUGGGGGACAACAGUUGGAAACGACUGCUAAUACCGCAUAAGCCCACGGCCCGGCAUCGGGCUGCGGGAAAAGGAUUUAUUCGCUUCAGGAUGGACUCGCGUCCAAUUAGCUAGUUGGUGAGGUAACGGCCCACCAAGGCGACGAUUGGUAGCCGGACUGAGAGGUUGAACGGCCACAUUGGGACUGAGACACGGCCCAGACUCCUACGGGAGGCAGCAGUGGGGGAUAUUGCACAAUGGGGGAAACCCUGAUGCAGCGACGCCGCGUGGAGGAAGAAGGUUUUCGGAUUGUAAACUCCUGUCGUUAGGGACGAUAAUGACGGUACCUAACAAGAAAACACCGGCUAACUACGUGCCAGCAGCCGCGGUAAAACGUAGGGUGCAAGCGUUGUCCGGAAUUACUGGGUGUAAAGGGAGCGCAGGCGGACCGGCAAGUUGGAAGUGAAAACUAUGGGCUCAGCCCAUAAAUUGCUUUCAAAACUGCUGGCCUUGAGUAGUGCAGAGGUAGGUGGAAUUCCCGGUGUAGCGGUGGAAUGCGUAGAUAUCGGGAGGAACACCAGUGGCGAAGGCGACCUACUGGGCACCAACUGACGCUGAGGCUCGAAAGCAUGGGUAGCAAACAGGAUUAGAUACCCUGGUAGUCCAUGCCGUAAACGAUGAUUACUAGGUGUUGGAGGAUUGACCCCUUCAGUGCCGCAGUUAACACAAUAAGUAAUCCACCUGGGGAGUACGACCGCAAGGUUGAAACUCAAAGGAAUUGACGGGGGCCCGCACAAGCAGUGGAGUAUGUGGUUUAAUUCGAAGCAACGCGAAGAACCUUACCAGGUCUUGACAUCCGAUGCAUAGUGCAGAGAUGCAUGAAGUCCUUCGGGACAUCGAGACAGGUGGUGCAUGGUUGUCGUCAGCUCGUGUCGUGAGAUGUUGGGUUAAGUCCCGCAACGAGCGCAACCCUUAUUGCCAGUUACUACGCAAGAGGACUCUGGCGAGACUGCCGUUGACAAAACGGAGGAAGGUGGGGAUGACGUCAAAUCAUCAUGCCCUUUAUGACCUGGGCUACACACGUACUACAAUGGCGUUUAACAAAGAGAAGCAAGACCGCGAGGUGGAGCAAAACUCAAAAACAACGUCUCAGUUCAGAUUGCAGGCUGCAACUCGCCUGCAUGAAGUCGGAAUUGCUAGUAAUCGCGGAUCAGCAUGCCGCGGUGAAUACGUUCCCGGGCCUUGCACACACCGCCCGUCA